UGGAACUUAGAAUGUAGUUACUUUCCUUCAAAUUAUUGGUGAAAUACUUCUGUGCUGACCCUGUAUCACUGUUGACAACGUGGAAAAAAUUUUUAGAUCAAUCAUUUUUACAAGAAAGCCAACAUCAAACCCUGGCACAGCAUUCUAAGAUGAGAGUAAAUAAUCUGAGAAGACUGAAUAAAUAAGAGAAUCCAAAGAACUUCAGAGAGACACGGACAUUGUUAAGAUCACACAUUUGAUUUGUGGAACCCUGAGUCAGCUAGGGUCAGGUCUGAGUGUGUGUAACUAAGACAUGGAUAAUUAGGGCAGCUCAAGAUAAAAGGCUGCACCUCUAUUGACCAAAGACGUCUCGACAGGCUGUCAAAGACUGUCCUGGUAGCCCAGUCUCCUCCCAGUUCACUGCUCUUCCUGAGAGGCCCUUCUCCCUCUGAGAUGAUGGCCAGAGCUCCUGCUGUUGAGCCAGAACUGCAAUAUCAAGAAGGAAGAAGAGUGGAGGGGAAAGGGACACAUGGCAUUCAUCGCCAGGUAUGGAACCUGAGGCAGAACUACAUUUUUCAGAACUAUACAUUAGAAUAUCAAACUACAUUGCAGUAACAAAACCAUAAAAUGGAUAUCAUUUAACCUCAGCAGGAAAAGACUUUAAAUGAGCUGAGGUCACCACUGUGACGAGCAAUGCGCCGUGAGCAGACACGAGUGCGGUUGGGGGAACUAUGGAUGCAUGCUAUCAGCAUGCCCACCUGCUCUAAGUUUCACCUGAUGAGCUGCUCUGACUCAAAUCAAAUGUGCAACAAACCAAAAUGAACUGGUGCUCCACCCACAUACACGUUCUGUCUGAAGGCUGCUCACUAAAAGAACGGGAAGAAGAAACCACCCUGGGAAUGAAGCCUGGGGAGCAGCUGUGGCCACUUGCACACGGUGGCAGGACUUGCUCUCUUCUGGCAAGAGAAAAAUGAAACCAUUGGCAACCAACACGGAAGCCUAACUGAAGGGAUAAUGAGCUAACCAGCGCCUGUAGUUGGGGUGGUAAGAUGGUCUGUCUUCCAACAGCAAAGCAAAGAAAGCUGCAGAUUCACAGACAUAAGGAAGCUACAGAUCUGUCAUAGCCUUUCCUUAUAACUGACCUUCAAGAUUCAUAUCCCAACAUCAAGCUAAGGCUUGAGCACUGUACUUCUGACAUAUAUUCUCCCAAACUGGAGUUACUGUGUCCAAGAAUGAAAUAUAUACUGGAA